rnacentral:rRNA from 1 species
UACGUAGGGUGCAAGCGUUGUCCGGAAUUAUUGGGCGUAAAGAGCUCGUAGGCGGUCUGUCGCGCCUGCUGUGAAAACUCGGGGCUUAACCCCGGGCCUGCAGUGGAUACGGGCAGGCUAGAGGUAGGUAGGGGAGAAUGGAAUUCCCGGUGUAGCGGUGAAAUGCGCAGAUAUCGGGAGGAACACCGGUGGCGAAGGCGGUUCUCUGGGCCUUACCUGACGCUGAGGAGCGAAAGCGUGGGGAGCGAACAGG